CCUGCCUUGGAGUGGGGAAUAACAGCUGGAAACAGCUGCUAAUACCGCAUGAUGCAGUUGGGUCGCAUGGCUCUGACUGCCAAAGAUUUAUCGCUCUGAGAUGGACUCGCGUCUGAUUAGCUAGUUGGCGGGGCAACGGCCCACCAAGGCGACGAUCAGUAGCCGGACUGAGAGGUUGGCCGGCCACAUUGGGACUGAGACACGGCCCAGACUCCUACGGAAGGCAGCAG
rnacentral:rRNA from 1 species